CCUACGGGGGGCAGCAGUGAGGAAUAUUGGUCAAUGGUCGGGAGACUGAACCAGCCAAGCCGCGUGAGGGAGGAAGGUACAGAGUAUCGUAAACCUCUUUUGUCAGGGAACAAAGACUGGGACGCGUCCCCGGAGGAGUGUACCUGAAGAAAAAGCAUCGGCUAACUCCGUGCCAGCAGCCGCGGUAAUACGGAGGAUGCGGGUGUUUUCCGGAUUUAUUGGGUGUAAAGGGUGUGCAGGGGGUCUGUUAAGUCAGCGGUCAAAGCCCGGGGCUCACCCCCGGCCCGCCGUUGAAACUGGCAGUCUCGAGUUGGAGAGAAGUAUGCGGAAUGCGCGGUGUAGCGGUGAAAUGCAUAGAUAUCGCGCAGAACUCCGAUUGCGAAGGCAGCAUGCCGGCUCCACACUGACGCUGAGGCACGAAAGCGUGGGUAUCGAACAGGAUUAGAUACCCUUGUAGUC
rnacentral:rRNA from 1 species